rnacentral:rRNA from 1 species
GACGAACGCUGGCGGCGUGCUUAACACAUGCAAGUCGAACGGAAAGGCCCUGCUUUUGUGGGGUGCUCGAGUGGCGAACGGGUGAGUAACACGUGAGUAACCUGCCCUUGACUUUGGGAUAACUUCAGGAAACUGGGGCUAAUACCGGAUAGGAGCUCCUGCUGCAUGGUGGGGGUUGGAAAGUUUCGGCGGUUGGGGAUGGACUCGCGGCUUAUCAGCUUGUUGGUGGGGUAGUGGCUUACCAAGGCUUUGAAGGGUAGCCGGCCUGAGAGGGUGACCGGCCACAUUGGGACUGAGAUACGGCCCAGACUCCUACGGGAGGCAGCAGUGGGGAAUAUUGCACAAUGGGCGGAAGCCUGAUGCAGCAACGCCGCGUGCGGGAUGACGGCCUUCGGGUUGGAAACCGCUUUCGCCUGUGACGAAGCGUGAGGGACGGUAAUGGGUAAAGAAGCACCGGCUAACUACGU